UACAGAGGGUGCGAGCGUUAAUCGGAAUUACUGGGCGUAAAGCGCGCGUAGACGGUUUUGUAAGUCAGAUGUGAAAUCCCUGGGCUCAACCUCGGAAUGGCAUUCAAUACUGCUUCGCUAGAGUACUGGAGAGGAGGCUGGAAUUUACGGUGUAGCAGUGAAAUGCGUAGAUAUCGUAAGGAAGGCCGGUGGCGAAAGCGAGCCUCUGGACAGUUACUGACGCUGAUGCACGAAGGCCAGGGGAGCAAACGGG
rnacentral:rRNA from 1 species